UGUAACCAGUAGAUUGUUACAGUUGUUCUGGUGUCGUGUUUUCCAAAUGUUAAGAACCAGUGUUGUAUUGUGUCUAUUACUGUCCACAGAGGGGAAAUUGAGUUCAUCAUUGGCUGUGAAAGCGUGUACAAUGCUAUGAUGAUGAACAUAUAAGAGUCCACUAUCGUUGUCUAUGUUGGUUAUAUUCAUGUAAUUGACCUGUUAAUGUGGUGACUGAGAACAAAGAGACAAGAGAGUUUGAUGUAAAGAAAAAAUAACAUCUUUAUUGAUUUCAACCACUGUAACAAGCCUUACUAUGUAACACCCUUAAGAUUUGCAUAAUUAACGCUGCACUGUUAAGUGCAGUCUGGAAUAAACGAUCCCCUUAAAAAAAA